UUUGCAGCCAGCCGAUUAUGGACUGAAGCCUCAGCAAACUCAUUGUCUUUGUCUUAGUAUCUGCGUUUCUGAGACCAAAUACCUACCACCCAAAGUUAAAGGAGGAGAGCCGGGGAUACAGCUCAGCGGCACAAGCGCCUGCCUGAGAAAAGGCGUCCAGCAUGGAACCAUUCAUUCUGAUGUUAACAGCGAUGUACCUAGUGCGUGUGACAUCCCAGGAAGAUCAUUUGUUGGCUUCCCCCUCCUGUGUAUAAUAAAAUUAUUUUUCAAUAAAAAUAAUGUAAAACCAACAAAAA